rnacentral:lncRNA from 1 species
UAAAAUUCUACUCUUUUAACAGGCUCUCCAUUCAGUGUAAUAGAUCUGAAGUACCAAUGUAUGAGUGUACAACUGAACCGGUAGAAACAGCAACCACAGAGAUCUUCAAACAAAUGCCUCAACGACCAUCUCGAGCUCAGCAAACCAAUGGCAGCAACCCACAUCACCAGACCAUACUCAGCAUUAGGAAUGAACUGUGGAGUACCCACGAAUCCAUUAAUGCUCUCCAUAGAGACAGAAGGUAGGAACCAUAUGUAUGUGGACAAAUACUAACAGCAGAGACACAUCAGUAG